ensembl:lncRNA
GGAUGUCACAUGUCUUCCUGAAUGCCUGUCCUGCACAGAACUGACUCUUGGGCUCCUUGCACUUUGGGAGAAAGGGUACCAGAAAAGGGCAGAAGUACAAAUGAAGAGUGGAAAGAGCCUCAUCAGCUCCUGUGCUGACUCAAUGGCUGCCACCUCCAGCCCCUGGAGCACCUCUGCCAGGUUCCACCAUCUCCCUGGAAGGAUGGAGCUCAGAGCCAGGCUGGCCUAGUACUGCAGGUGGGUUGUGCUGCCCAAAGCACAGCACCAUCCUGCCUACUGCUGUUUCUGCCAGGACUAGAUGUUGUGUGGCACUGGGAUACCUAGAGAAGGACUGAACAACUUCAUUUCUGUCCAGCUGAGAACUCCUCAUUCAUCUAAACAUCAUAGGUCUGAGUCCUUCAGAGCAAAAACAAAGGGCAGAAGAGGACUUCUAAGACUUUCAAACUCUACACCACAUAUAAGGAAUACAUGUUGUCAAGAACAGUAAUGAAGUUAACUGGCCACACAUCCAUCUCUGGGAUAGCCCUUGUGGAGGAUACAGCAAGGAAUUCACUGGCUUUUUAAUGAAGGGCAACCAACUAACCAACCAACCAAAUAAACAACAACAACAACAACAAAAAAACCCUACAACAACAAUAACAACAACAACAAAAUAAAAAACCCACCAAAGAUAAGAAGAAACAUACAAAACCCAAAACAAAGAAACACCUCCUCUACAAAGACCAAUAUAAUCUCACUCUUCUUCAUUUGUUUUCUUUGCCUUCUUUCGCUCUACUUUUUAUUUUAAAUCUUUUGCCACCAGAGCAUAUCUAAACAUUGCAUUGAACAUGCCACCAUUAGUAGAAGUGUUCAGUUCCUCCACAGAGUUUCACUGAUUACUAUGGACUCUUAUUGGAGUUAAGCUCAUUUCCACAAGUCACAUGAGGGGCCUUACAAGUUAAUUUUUCACAGCUGCAUUACAAGAGUAGAUGUUUACUUUGCUCAUAUGACAGGGUCAUAUCUAUGCUGAUGACAGAAUAUAAAUAUGCAUACAUAUAAUUUUUAACCUGUUGAAAAGAUCAGUAAAGUACAAUGGAAUUUAAGGUAUUGAUGCUGGGGAAGGAUGAAAAAUGAAAGAAAUGACAAAGUAAGCAAAAUAAACGUGUCAGAUUGUACAAUUCCCUUAAAACUGGAUGGAGGCUCCAUGGGAACAUUUUGCCAGCAGGUAGGAUGCCAGAAAUAUCGUCUUUCUUCAACUAUUGAUGCUCCUUGUUGAAUUUUAUAGAUGGCAAUAUCUCUUUCUGCAGUUGUUUAGUAUUGCCAUUUAAAAGGUGAGUAGAGAGAGAAGGUAGGGACAUGGCAUCAAAAACUAGAUAGGAUCAAAGAGAAGCAUGACCAGAUGAGGAGAAAAUAUCGCUUAAUAUUUUAAAGGUUAGAAGUUCUACUAAAACAGUUUGUAAAUGCAUUUUCAUUUUGUUCCUCCUCUACCCAUAAGCAGAUGGUAAUGAAGAACCAUCAGUAGCUUAAAUUUAUUUGUCCUUUCUUUCCCCUUACCUUCUAUCGAUGAAUAGGUGCUGUAGUUGCAAGAGGCCAAACCUCAUGAGUAAAGCAAUAAGCACAAAAGCAUCACUAUUUAAGACCAUCUCUUUUUAGUGCAGUACAUUGGUAUUUACUGACUUGCCUCAGUAAAUGUUUGUCAAUCCAAAGUAAAAACCUGAUUAGUCCAUGCCAUAAAAAUGUCUCUGUAAGCUAUGAAGUUGAAAACAGUGAACAAUUCUGAAUUUGACUGUUCCUGAGAGAACACACAUAUUUCACAAAUUAAUAAAGGCAAGACACAGCUGGAAAACACAAGAGAAAGGGCCAUCUGUGAGGGACCAGAACGUAUAUUUAUUUCAAACCAAAAAGCAAGCAGCUUGUACCUAAGUAGGAUCUUGAGAGCAUGUAACUUGUCAUGCAGCAAAAACUCCUGAUACACCUUCCUAAGUAGCACUGAGGGCUAUUACUCAAAAAGGAAGUUUUACAGAAUUUAAUUUUUGAAAACAAGUCUCUUUCCUAUAUGUGAAUAUUAAAGAUUUCCGACAGUUAAGUAAGAAUGGAUUGGAAGGCACAAAGGAAUGUGCAGUACGACGAAGGCUCUUUUUACUCACUUGAAGCUAAUCUGGAUACUGGAAACAUUAAUUGGAAGAAGAAGCCCUAAAGGCAUCAGGUAUCUGGUUACAUUUACUCUCUUUAUAUAUCAAUUGGUGUUUAAUCCUUUUUCCUGCCAUUUGCCAUUUCUGUUGAUCUGUGGCUACAAGAGGCUUUUGAUGGGGAAGAGUUUCACAUGCUACAGAACAGUCCAUGAGCUUCUCCAUGAAUUUCUACGUAUUUAUUGCCUAAAAUUUAAAUAUGAAUGUCAAUCCUGUCAAUAUGUCAAAAGCAAUAACACAGAUGUUCCAGAGACGUACUCACAUCACCCCCAAAACAGAAAAGGCACUAGGGAUGCAUGGAAGCAGUUAGCAAUAAGAUACAGGAAAAGUGAUCCGACAUGAGUUUGACCAUCUCUAGAUAAGAUUUGUUGAGUUGACAGCAAGUGAGAACCAGCAAUUAAACAACCAUCAAAACUGUGUAUAUGACAACGAAUUUGGUCUUUUGCUUCAGAUAAAAGCAGUAUAAACUGAUUUACAGAAGAGUAAAGGUUCAAACUUCUCACUUAACAUUUGGGUGUUACUGAAUGCAUUUAUUUCACUUUGUGAAAAGCACUUUGGAAGUUACAUAGGAUGAAAAGUGAACUUAGCUCAAGAAACUACUGUGGCCUCUUUUGCCUAUGGAUAAAGUUAUAAUCUUUGAUUAUGUGAUUGUAUCCUGUUUUUCUUCACAAAAUCACUAUCUAAUUCCAUACAAAAGUUAAAUGCACAAUGGGAUAGAGUUCAAGUCUGGAUGGAUGAAUAUCAAAUGAUGUACUUUUGUAAGUCUGAAACGUCUUAACCUGACACAUCCAUAAAAUAAUUCUGUCUUU